rnacentral:rRNA from 1 species
AUUUUGGACAAUGGGGGCAACCCUGAUCCAGCCAUCCCGCGUGUGCGAUGAAGGCCUUCGGGUUGUAAAGCACUUUUGGCAGGGAAGAAAAGGCGCGGGUUAAUACCCUGUGCCGCUGACGGUACCUGCAGAAUAAGCACCGGCUAACUACGUGCCAGCAGCCGCGGUAAUACGUAGGGUGCAAGCGUUAAUCGGAAUUACUGGGCGUAAAGGGUGCGCAGGCGGCCUGGCAAGAAAGGUGUGAAAUCCCAGGGCUUAACCUUGGAAUGGCACUUUUAACUGCCAAGCUAGAGUAUGUCAGAGGGGGGUAGAAUUCCGCGUGUAGCAGUGAAAUGCGUAGAGAUGCGGAGGAAUACCGAUGGCGAAGGCAGCCCCCUGGGAUAAUACUGACGCUCAUGCACGAAAGCGUGGGGAGCAAACA